CAAGUCGAACGGCAGCACAGAGGAGCUUGCUCCUUGGGUGGCGAGUGGCGGACGGGUGAGGAAUACAUCGGAAUCUACUUUUUCGUGGGGGAUAACGUAGGGAAACUUACGCUAAUACCGCAUACGACCUACGGGUGAAAGCAGGGGAUCUUCGGACCUUGCGCGAUUGAAUGAGCCGAUGUCGGAUUAGCUAGUUGGCGGGGUAAAGGCCCACCAAGGCGACGAUCCGUAGCUCCUCUGUGAGGAUGAUCAGCCACACUGGAACUGAGACACGGUCCAGACUCCUACGGGAGGCAGCAGUGGGGAAUAUUGGACAAUGGGCGCAAGCCUGAUCCAGCCAUACCGCGUGGGUGAAGAAGGCCUUCGGGUUGUAAAGCCCUUUUGUUGGGAAAGAAAUCCAGCUGGCUAAUACCCGGUUGGGAUGACGGUACCCAAAGAAUAAGCACCGGCUAACUUCGUGCCAGCAGCCGCGGUAAUACGAAGGGUGCAAGCGUUACUCGGAAUUACUGGGCGUAAAGCGUGCGUAGGUGGUCGUUUAAGUCCGUUGUGAAAGCCCUGGGCUCAACCUGGGAACUGCAGUGGAUACUGGGCGACUAGAAUGUGGUAGAGGGUAGCGGAAUUCCUGGUGUAGCAGUGAAAUGCGUAGAGAUCAGGAGGAACAUCCAUGGCGAAGGCAGCUACCUGGACCAACAUUGACACUGAGGCACGAAAGCGUGGGGAGCAAACAGGAUUAGAUACCCUGGUAGUCCACGCCCUAAACGAUGCGAACUGGAUGUUGGGUGCAAUUUGGCACGCAGUAUCGAAGCUAACGCGUUAAGUUCGCCGCCUGGGGAGUACGGUCGCAAGACUGAA
rnacentral:rRNA from 1 species